rnacentral:rRNA from 1 species
CCCAGACUCCUACGGGAGGCAGCAGUGGGGGAUAUUGCACAAUGGGGGGAACCCUGAUGCAGCGACGCCGCGUGGGUGAAGGAGCGUUUCGGCGCGUAAAGCCCUAUCGGCAGGGAAGAAGGAGGACGGUACCUGAAAAAGAAGCCCCGGCUAACUACGUGCCAGCAGCCGCGGUAAUACGUAGGGGGCAAGCGUUAUCCGGAUUUACUGGGUGUAAAGGGAGCGCAGGCGGUCUUGCAAGUCUGAUGUGAAAGGCCGGGGCCCAACCCCGGGACUGCUCUUGGAACUGCGCGGCUGGAGUGCAGGAGGGGCAGGCGGAAUUCCUGGUGUAGCGGUGAAAUGCGUAGAUAUCAGGAGGAACACCGGUGGCGAAGGCGGCCUGCUGGACUGCAACUGACGUUGAGGCCCGAAAGCGUGGGGAGCAAACAGGAUUAGAUACCCGUGUAC